GUGGGGAUUAUUGGACAAUGGGGGGAACCCUGAUCCAGCCAUGCCGCGUGUGUGAAGAAGGCCUUUUGGUUGUAAAGCACUUUAAGCGAGGAGGAGGCUACCGAGAUUAAUACUCUUGGAUAGUGGACGUUACUCGCAGAAUAAGCACCGGCUAACUCUGUGCCAGCAGCCGCGGUAAUACAGAGGGUGCAAGCGUUAAUCGGAUUUACUGGGCGUAAAGCGCGCGUAGGUGGCCAAUUAAGUCAAAUGUGAAAUCCCCGAGCUUAACUUGGGAAUUGCAUUCGAUACUGGUUGGCUAGAGUAUGGGAGAGGAUGGUAGAAUUCCAGGUGUAGCGGUGAAAUGCGUAGAGAUCUGGAGGAAUACCGAUGGCGAAGGCAGCCAUCUGGCCUAAUACUGACACUGAGGUGCGAAAGCAUGGGGAGCAAACAGGAUUAGAAACCCUAGUAGUCC
rnacentral:rRNA from 1 species